GAUUAUGGCUCAGAUUGAACGCUGGCGGCAUGCCUUACACAUGCAAGUCGAACGGUAACAGGUCUUCGGAUGCUGACGAGUGGCGAACGGGUGAGUAAUACAUCGGAACGUGCCUAGUAGUGGGGGAUAACUACUCGAAAGAGUGGCUAAUACCGCAUGAGAUCUACGGAUGAAAGCAGGGGAUCGCAAGACCUUGUGCUACUAGAGCGGCUGAUGGCAGAUUAGGUAGUUGGUGGGAUAAAAGCUUACCAAGCCGACGAUCUGUAGCUGGUCUGAGAGGACGAUCAGCCACACUGGGACUGAGACACGGCCCAGACUCCUACGGGAGGCAGCAGUGGGGAAUUUUGGACAAUGGGCGAAAGCCUGAUCCAGCAAUGCCGCCGUGCAGGAUGAAGGCCUUCGGGUUGUAAACUGCUUUUGUACGGAACGAAAAGCUUCGGGUUAAUACCCUGGAGCCAUGACGGUACCGUAAGAAUAAGCACCGGCUAACUACGUGCCAGCAGCGGC
rnacentral:rRNA from 1 species